GAUGAACGCUGGCGGCGUGCCUAAUACAUGCAAGUCGAGCGAACGGACGAGAAGCUUGCUUCUCUGAUGUUAGCGGCGGACGGGUGAGUAACACGUGGAUAACCCACUUAUAAGUCUGGGAUAAUCUCGGGAAACCGGAGCUAAUACCGGAUAAUAUUUUGAACCGCAUGGUUCAAAAGUGAAUGACGGUCUUGCUGUCACUUAUAGCUGCAUCCGCGCUGCAUUAGCUAGUUAGUAAGGUAACGGCUUACCAAGGCAACGAUGCAUAGCCGACCUGAGAGGGUGAUCGGCCACACUGGAACUGAGACACGGUCCAGGCUCCUGCGGGAGGCAGCAGUAGGGAAUCUGCCGCAAUGGGCGGAAGCCUGACGGAACAGCGCCGCGUGAGUGAUGGAAGUCUUCGGAUCGUAAAACUCUGUUAUUAGGGAAAAACAUAUGUGUAAGUAACUGUGCACAUCGUGACGGUACCUAAUCAGAAAGCCACGGCUAACUACGUG
rnacentral:rRNA from 1 species